rnacentral:rRNA from 1 species
CCUACGGGAGGCAGCAGUGGGGAAUAUUGGGCAAUGGACGCAAGUCUGACCCAGCAACGCCGCGUGAAGGAAGAAGGCUUUCGGGUUGUAAACUUCUUUUAAGGGGGAAGAGCAGAAGACGGUACCCCUUGAAUAAGCCACGGCUAACUACGUGCCAGCAGCCGCGGUAAUACGGAGGAUGCGAGCGUUAUCCGGAUUUAUUGGGUUUAAAGGGUGCGUAGGUUGUUUUUUAAGUCAGCGGUGAAAGUUUGUGGCUCAACCAUAAAAUUGCCGUUGAAACUGGAAGACUUGAGUGUGUUUGAGGUAGGCGGAAUGCGUGGUGUAGCGGUGAAAUGCAUAGAUAUCACGCAGAACUCCGAUUGCGAAGGCAGCUUACUAAGCCAUAACUGACACUGAAGCACGAAAGCGUGGGGAUCAAACAGGAUUAGAUACCCGAGUAGUC